UUGCAAUUGGAACCCGAGGCUCUGACAGCACAGAACUUCAGACCAUAACUGGCGAGCCCAGUUAUGCUCUAUCUGUGUCUGAACUGACUGACCUACCCAAAGUGCAACAGCAAGUUGUGUCCUCUGUGGAAGCUGCAGUUAUUGAAGUCACCCCAGAAUUACCAACCGUAAUUGUUUCACGUGACAGAAAAGAUAUCGUAUUCCUUCUGGAUGGUUCUGAUGGCACAAGGAAUGGCUUCCCUGCCAUGCGUGAUUUUGUAGAGAGAGUGGUGGAGAAACUCAAUGUGGGAGAAAACAAAGACCAUGUCUCUGUGGUCCAGUACAGCAGAGAACCAGAGGUCCAUUUCUAUCUGAACACAUAUACCACAGGGGAGGAUGUGGUGGACUCGGUCAGAGGGCUUAGACACAGAGGAGGAAGACCCCUAAACACCGGGGCAGCUCUCCAAUACGUCAGAGACAACGUCUUUACAAACUCCUCUGGGAGUAGACGCCUGCAGGGUGUCCCACAGAUAUUGAUCUUGCUAACUGGGGAAGGUCUUUUGACAAUGUAGAUAGCCCAGCCUCAGCUCUCAAACAGCAGGGCAUUUAUGUGAUUGGCAUCGGAACUAGGACCUCAGAUGCUAGAGAGCUGCAGAAAAUAUCAUAUGAGCCCAGUUAUGCUCUGCCAGUGUCCGAGUUCACUGACCUUCCCAGUGUCCAAGAAAAGCUCUCUUCUGUAAUGAGCACAGUGAUAGUGAGGGCCACGCCCAUGACACCAACAGUGACCGUGGUCAGACCGCCAGCAGGAAAGGAUGUGGUGUUUUUGCUGGAUGGAUCUGAUACUACUAGAACUGGAUUCCCAGCUAUGAGAGACUUUGUCCAAAAACAAGUAGAGACACUCAGUGUGGAUGAUGGCAAAGACCGUGUGUCGGUUGUUCAGUACAGCAGCGAUCCAGCCGUCCAGUUCUAUCUGAACACUUACACCACAAAAAGAGAGGUCCUUGACAGUGUCA